rnacentral:rRNA from 1 species
AUUGAACGCUGGCGGCAUGCUUUACACAUGCAAGUCGAACGGUAACAGGCCGCAAGGUGCUGACGAGUGGCGAACGGGUGAGUAAUGCAUCGGAACGUGCCCAGUCGUGGGGAUAACGCAGCGAAAGCUGCGCUAAUACCGCAUACGAUCUAUGGAUGAAAGCGGGGGACCGUAAGGCCUCGCGCGAUUGGAGCGGCCGACGUCAGAUUAGGUAGUUGGUGGGGUAAAGGCUCACCAAGCCAACGAUCUGUAGCUGGUCUGAGAGGACGACCCGCCACACUGGGACUGAGACACGGCCCAGACUCCUACGGGAGGCAGCAGUGGGGAAUUUUGGACAAUGGGCGCAAGCCUGAUCCAGCAAUGCCGCGUGCAGGAAGAAGGCCUUCGGGUUGUAAACUGCUUUUGUACGGAACGAAACGGUCCUGGUUAAUACCUGGGGCUAAUGACGGUACCGUAAGAAUAAGCACCGGCUAACUACGUGCCAGCCGCCGCCGUAACAC